GCUUUCACAGCGGCCAGCGGACGCCGAGGAAAGUCUGGACUCCACAGAGCACGGUGGUUGCUAACAGCAACCCGGGGCGACCCGCGGGCAAGUGCAACAGAAAGUAGACCGCCGGGGACAUCGCUUGCGAUGUCCCCGGUAAGGGUGAAAGGGUGCGGUAAGAGCGCACCAGUACCGUCAGUGAUGGCGGUAGCUGGGUAAACCCCACUGGGAGCAAGGCAUCACGGCUCGCCACUGGCGGGCCUGCUCAGGUGUUUGAGGGCUGCUCGCCCAAGCCUGAAGGUAGCUGCUUGAACCAACUGGCAACGGUUGGUCUAGAUGGAUGUUCGUCGCGCCACCCACACGGGCGGCGUACAGAAUCCGGCUUAUAGGUCGACUCAU
rnacentral:RNase_P_RNA from 1 species